CACAGUAUAAGCUGUCACUAACUUUACAAAUCUUUGUUUAUAGCUCCAAGUGCAGAAUAACCAACUAAAAUCAUACAGAGAGAAAUGAGAAGGAAAAGAGAACUGCUUCAAAGUACCAGGUUUUGCUAAAAUUAACAGCAUUGUGUAACAUUCAAAGAACAAUUUGAGAGGCUCCCGGCAUAGGUGGAUCCAGGAUUUUGUAAGGGGAGGUAUAGGAACAGCAAGCAGUGCUGGAGGCAU
rnacentral:lncRNA from 1 species